AUUCAAGACACAGUAAGGGUUUAAAAGCCAGAUGCAGUGCUCAAGUGAGUACUUGCCUAAUGAUGAGCUCUCUAAAUUUGCCAUUUCUGGAAUCUACACUAAUUCUGUUAAUACUUUUAGAAUGGCCCGAUUAUAAUUCUCGAUAAUGCUACAAACUUAUUCAUGCUACAAACGUAAUUUGAGGACUAGCCGGACACUGUGAUAGACAUGAUAAUCCAGAAAUGCACCCUACCUUUGCCCUGGAAAGCCUCUCUUCCCCUCUCACAGACCCUAACCCUCUGUGUGAGGGAUCCUCAACGCCUUCUCCUUCAGAACUCGGCUCAAACAUCCCCUUCCCAGAAAGGAGACUCGUGCACUGCCCC
rnacentral:lncRNA from 1 species